UAAAAGUUUAAAUUUGGCUUUUAAUUUAAGUGUUAUUUUAUUUUAUAUGUAAUUUUUAUAUUAAAGAGAUAUUUAGCAGUAAUUAAUAUUAAUUAUUAAAGAAAUUUAGAAUUAGUAAAAUAUAUAAUAUUAACAAAAUUUGUGCCAGCAGUUGCGGUUAUACAAAUAAUAUAAUUUAAUUUUAUUAAUAAUAAUUAAUUUGAUAGGUAAAAAUUUUAAAUUAAAAUUUAUUAAGUGAAAUUUUAAAUUUUAAAUUAAAUUUUAUUAGAAAAAUGAAGUUAAGAAAUUUUUUUUAAAAACUAGGAUUAGAUACCCUAUUAUUAAAAAUAUAAUUUAUAUUUAUAUUAAAUUAUUAUUAGUUAUGUUCUUGAAAAUUAAAAAUUAUGGCGGUAUUUUAAUCUUUUCAGAGGAACCUGUUUUGUAAAUGAUAGUCCACGAUUUAAUUAACUUUUUUUUAUUAACUUAUAUAUCGUCGUAAUUAAAUAUUUUUUUAGAAUUUAAUAUUUAAAAAUUUUUAUUAAAAAAUUAAUCAGAUCAAGGUGUAGUAAAUAGAAAAGUUAAAAUGGGUUACAUUAAAUAAAUUUUUGAAUAUUUAAUUUUAAAUUAAUUUGAAUAUGGAUUUGAAAGUAAUUUUAAUUAAUUAAUUAAUUUGAUUAUAGCUCUAAAAUAUGUACAUAUUGCCCGUCGCUUUCAUUUAAAAUGAAAUAAGUCGUAACAAAGUAGAUUUAUUGGAAAAUGAGUCUAGGAUUCA
rnacentral:ncRNA from 1 species